UGGCUGUCGUCAGCUCGUGUCGUGAGAUGUUGGGUUAAGUCCCGCAACGAGCGCAACCCCUGCAUUCAGUUGCCAUCGGGUAAUGCCGGGCACUCUGGAAGGACUGCCAUCGACAAGAUGGAGGAAGUGGGGAGUGACGUCAAGUCAUCAUGGCCCUUAUGUCCAGGGCGACACACGUGCUACAAUGGCCGGCACAACGGGAAGCGAGUUCGCGAGGACGAGCGGAUCCCUCAAAGCCGGUCGCAGUUCGGAUUGAAGUCUGCAACUCGACUUCAUGAAGCUGGAAUCGCUAGUAAUCGUGGAUCAGCCAAGCCGCGGUGAAUACGUUCCCGGGCCUU
rnacentral:rRNA from 1 species